rnacentral:lncRNA from 1 species
GGGGGUUUUGAGAUACUUUUAUUCAAUUUCCAGAAAUAUUACAUACAUUGGAAAAAGUAUGCCAUUUAUAAUCACAAUUUUCUUCUAAAGAUGAUGAAUUACAUUAAAUAGUUCUUUUGUCUGCUGGGCACGUGGUAGAAAGUUUGGGGCUUGGGGAAAGGAAUCAUGGCAAGUGAAUUGCUUUUUAUAUGUAAGGUGGAAGAAUUUGGACGCAUGGAAGGGGAUAAGAAUGGAGAACAGAUAGAGAGAAGGGAGAAGCAGGGACAGAUGAGACACCAGAUUCUUCUUGGCUAAAGAGAAUGAGAAAUGUUGAGAGAAGUGUUGGGAGGUGGGGUGGCAACAAGACCAGAGCUAAUAGGAAGAUCUUAUAUGAAUUUGUAAGUUUGUUGUGCUAUGCAUGGGAGAAAUGAUACUUUGCCCAGAUUGUGAAUGGCAUUUUUGUGGAAACCAAUGAGGAAACUUGAGAUGUUUGGAUUGGAGAAUGACAGGGCUAAGGAGACACAAGUAAAACAAGUGCAUAAGUGCAGUGGCCUUUUUUAAAUGCCUAUUUAUAGCUUUCAUCCUUUUUGGACUGCUUAUGUUUUUCUUAUUGAUCUGUAGUAGCUUGUUAUAUGUUAACUGUUGGAAUUUCAUAUGUGUUAGAGAUAUUGUCCCCAGCUUGUCAUUUGCCUCCUGGUUAUGUUUGCUGAUCCAGUGCAGAACCCCAUGGGGUGCAGAGUAGGAGGACAUGAGAGAGCCAAGGCUGGAGAGUUAGGCACAGGCUAGGUCACCUAAGGGCUAGCUGCUCAUGCAAAGGAGCAAGGAGGUGCUAUUGACGAGGGUAGGACUUUAAAAUAUCUAGGGAGUGAAGUCUUCAGGUUUUGCUGACUGGAUAAGGGAUGUGGGAUCCAAGAAGGUGAUGAAAAUGUAAAUAUGCAUACCUGCAACAAAGUGCAUCAGAGUUGAAAGAAGAAAGAAGCAGGUUGUGUUUGCCUAAAAGCUGCAAAACCAGCUUUUAGUCUACACUCUGCAUGUGUGGCUUAGGGGUCAGCCAGAGCUGAGAGCAGACAGAAGUUGGAAAUCCUCCCUCGGACUCUUUCCCUUCCUGCAUUCCCUUUCUCUUCCCAGCAGCCAUGGUGGCCCUGGAUUCAGCUUUCCCUUCCACAGGCCAGAGAGAUUGUGAUUUUUUUUCCACCAAUGCCCUGCCACCCUGCAGGCUGCUCUCACUACACUUGGGUGUAAGUGAAAAGCUGUCCCUAUAACUUCCCUCCUCUGAGCACGGACCACCCCACUCCUGGGUCUGCCUGCUCUUCUCACUCUCAUAUGUCUUCAAGAAGCUGCUUGUAUUACGUCCAAAGCUUACAAUUGGUAUGUCCAGGAGGCUCAGUCUGGUAGGAUCUUACUCUGUCCUUACCAGCAGCAGAAGUAAUCUGUCUUUGCGGAUC